UUGCUUUGGCAGCAUAUGUUCUGAAAUUGGAACAAUACAGAGACUAUUACCACAGCUCCUGAGCAUGGAUGACAUACACAUUUGUGAAGGAUUCAUUCAUUCA